rfam:Canis lupus familiaris chromosome 7, whole genome shotgun sequence.
GCCUAGGUGGCUCAGUGGUUGAGCACCUGCCUUUGGCUCAGGAUGUGAUCCUGGGUG